rnacentral:misc_RNA from 1 species
ACAGUCAAUGAUUAUCAGGAAGUAAGCAAAGACUGGAGUGUCAGACUCAAACUCAAAGUGUAAAAUGAUAACUGAAAUUGAAGUUUGAUUCAGAUGGCCACCUAAGCAAGAUGUAACUUGUUCCGAGAUUUAAGAUGGGGUCCCGUCAACCAUGGGACAACACCCCUCACACACUGACAGAGUUCGCUCCCUUGAGUUCGGAAGUAAGACCAAGCGGAGGGAUUUUUUCCCGAUUUCUUAGAAGAGGAAAAGAUGAAUCAGAUAAUUCAGACAGCUCUUCCGCCCCUAGCAGUAGAUUGUCAUCGAGGGAAACUUCAGUUGAGAGAAGCAAACUGCCCCCUGGUGACACUCACGGCGGAGUUAUUGUCGAAAGUGUCGACCCAUCUUCUGUACUUCCCACAGAAAAAUACUGGAUGAAAAAUGAUGAUGAAAAUGGAAGCCAAUCGAGUUUAGAGGGUCAGGUCCCAUCACAAUGGAACCAAGAAACUACCCCAAAGAGAACACUCUCCAGUGUACUGAGUCGUCUGGGCAACAUACUGGAGAGAAGAAGCACUACUCCUCAGGCAUACAAGGACAGUGAUUUCAAGCAGUACUGGAUGCCGGACAGCAGCUGCCGUGAAUGCUACAACUGUGGAGACAAAUUCACGACGUUCCGCCGGCGACAUCACUGUCGAAUCUGUGGGCAGAUUUUCUGCAGUAAAUGCUGCAACCAAGAACUCCCAGGAAAAAUCAUCGGUUACAAAGGUGGUAUCCGUGUGUGUCAGUAUUGCUGUAAAGUCGUCCUCCGAUACGCCCAGCAGUCCGAGUCUAGUGGAGAUAUGAAGAUGAUCAGAGAGGACCUGAAGAGGUUGUCUCCCAUUGACUCGGAGGUGAUGCUCUCUCAGGAGUUUGGACUUUGGAUGCCCACUAGAGCGCCCUCUGUCCACGAAGACCAACUUCCAUCGCAGAGAUCUGUAAGCCCCCAAGAUGCAAACAACGGUGCCAAGUCCACGCCCUUUGACCUCACACCAAUGGCUGACAUCUCUAUUCAAGAGAGCCUUAUUCUCACUGAAGAUUCGGUUCAGCUCCGUAUGCUGUGGCGACAGAUACAAGAUGCGGAAACCGGGGUCGAGAUGCAGAGUCACCGCAUUCGCCUGCGCACGUAUCUCAGUUGCAUUGUAGGUAAAGAUCUGGUCACAUGGCUGGUGGAUCACGACAAGGUGGCAAAGAGAGAUCAAGCUGUUGGAAUUGGGCAGGCUCUGUUGUUUGCCAACUACCUGGAACCAAUCACAAACCAGAGGAUCUUCCGAGACGAUUUCUCUCUUUACAAACCAGGAGAGCAAGCGAUUUCGUAUGUUGAGUCGCAGUCUGACACUGAAAACGAGGCCACGACUGCCGAAGAGACGAGUAGUACAGAACCGCAGUGGGUUCGCGAGAUUCAGUCUAUCGACAGAGACGAAUUUGACAUUUCGUUUGAGCGUCAGUCGACCGCGACCGACUCUGACCACCAGAAGAGUCAGUCGUCCGAGACGAGCACGCAGACAAGUUUCUACCUGGGAGAGAAGACCGAAUGUGGCAGCGUGCCUAAUGAAGUCUUAAAGUUGACCGCAGCCCCCAGAGAUGGUGGGGAGGAACCGCUACCAAGACAGGACUUCUCAACCACCGGGCUCACUGAUGAUUUCAUUAAAGAUGCUUUGUUUGUGGGCCAAUCGCCUCACGCCCCCGAUUCCAUCUGUUUCCCUCACGCCUGGCGCAACAUAGAGCAACUCCGUGAGGAGAACGGGGAGAAAUUGGCUUACUCAAGACUGAGACAAGCCCACUCCGAGUUAUGGGACGCCCUGACGAAACAACUACUGAGUCAUAACGGUCUGUCGAUGAGCUGGGAGUGCGUCAUGUCAUCCAUUAUAGCUCAGAUCAGUCGCUUCGUUAAGCCCGAUGUGCAGGGGGAGGGGGACGAGUUAGACAUACGCAAGUACAUCCACGUAAAGAAGAUUCCCGGAGGUCAGAAGACAGACACAAGUAUGCUGCAUGGUGUUAUGUUCACCAAGAACAUAGCUCACAAGAAGAUGCAGCAACAGAUCUCAAACCCUCAGAUUAUGUUGCUCCGUGGCGCUAUCGAGUACCAGAGAGUGGAAAACAAGUUCUCAUCACUGGAGCCACAGAUUCUCCAGGAGCGCGAGUUUCUGAGGAACAGUGUGUCGAAGAUCACAGCAUUCCGCCCCAGUAUUGUGAUCGUAGAGAAAUCCGUGUCCAGAUUGGCCCAGGAGUUUCUCCUAAGCCAGGGAGUCACACUGGUGUUCAAUGUUAAACUGCGAGUGAUGGAGAGAUUGGCGCGAUUCACCCAGGCUGACAUCGUUCCAUCCAUUGACAGUCUGGUCAGCCGCCCCACCCUGGGGUUCUGCCACACCUUCAAGUGUCAGUCGUACCUCCUACCCAGUGGAGAGACGAAGACGUUUGUGGUGUUUGAUGGGUGUGCCACUAACCUCGGCUGUACAAUUAGUCUGAGAGGAGGAACUUCUGGUGAACUGCGCAAAGUAAAAGACAUUUUAAAAUUCAUGAGCUACACUGCGUACAACUCGCUACUGGAAAUUUCCUUCUGUAUGGACGAAUUCGCCAUGCCAGCGGGGACACCGGACGAAACCUGUCCAAUCGAAGGAAUCGGGGACGGAGAGAAAAAUGGAGAUGAUGUCCCAGAUCAGAGCUGUGACAUCGAUGUCGAGAAUGGAGUGAUCACGAAUCCCAGUGAUGAGAACAGCUCUGAAGAAGAUGAUGAGAAGGCUGUGUGCAAUAUUCAAGUUCAGUUUGAAGACGAUAAAGAUGAUUCAGGAUCUAACAUUGACAGUUUACUGGAAACUAACCAAAAGGAAGCGUCUUUAGGAGGUUUUGUACAUUUAGAAAGAUCGCCAGACAAUCAAAGCAGUAGAGUUUUAGAAAGACAGAAAUCCGAACAUGGUGCUCAAAUUCAGCAUGAGGAAAUCACUAGAGAUGAUGGGAAUAAUAAGAAUUCUUUCACAGAAAACCAGAAGCAAGAUCAGAAAUGUUUUAGACAAAAAGACGAAGAAAAUGCUAAUAGUGAAGAUUUUACGAAAUUUGAGAAAGGGCUGACAGCUUUUGAGGGCAAAGAUAACCUGAAGAGCUCUCCUCUUUUGAGAAAUACAAAUCUGCUUCGGAUCGACUCUGAGAGUCAGAUCAAAAGAACCUCGUGUGAAAUAACCGAGCUGACAGAUGCAAGCGACCCGCUACUGAACUACCAGAAGACGAAAGACGAGUCGAUCUUCGAGAGUUCGCUGGUCGAGUUCCAGGAACACAAGCAGACGAAGCAGCAUCUGUUUAAACGUCUUCUCUCCGGCGUCAUUCUGUCUGUCUGUCCUUACCAUCAAUACAGCCUCCCGUACCUGGAGUCGCGGCAAGGGAUUGGCUGUAAGCUGCGCAAGUUCCUCUCCGAGGAUCUCUACUACUCGCCACUGUUCGAAGGUGAAGGUCAGAGUCCGAGGUCAAAGUACCAUGACCUUGACUACACGACGAAGUACUCCACGAAGACCAACAUCCAGAUCACUGAAGCGCAUCCGUUCAUUCUGUGCAAGUUGACAGACAGUUAUCUCGAAAACCGUAUUCAGGGUAUGCUUUCUGAUUUCCGUGCAAGAGGUGGCAGAAUCAAAGUUCUGUCGAAAAACCACGCUAAACAAAACGGUGUCCUGGGCGAAUCGUCUCCUAAACGACCAAAUUUUAUGAAUGAAACAAACGACAAGGACAGAAGCAAAGUAUCCACGAUCAUGUUUGACAAGAAGAUCGACUGUCUGAAUCCGCUGAAUCACCAGAAGAUCUCUGUUCUGUUUAGUAGUUACUCUCACAAGUCAACCAACCACCCAAACCCUUGUGUCACUCCAUGGUUGGUAAAAAUGGAGUUCUAUGGUAAAAAUGACAUCACACUGGGAGGAUUUCUUGAGAGGUUUUGUUUCAGGGAGACGUACCUCUGUCCGUCAGAAUCUUGUGACACCCCAAUGGUCGACCACAUACGGAGGUUUUCUCACGGGACCGGCUGUAUCAACGUGUUGGUCAAGAGACUGGACAAUGAGAUAGCGGGUGGGCAGAACAACAUUCUCCUGUGGAGCUGGUGCUGUGUGUGUAAACAGGUGACUCCAGUGGUUCCUAUCUGUGCUGACACCUGGAAUCUGUCGUUUGCGAAAUUCCUUGAGCUUCGUUUCCAUGUCAAACAGUUCACUCGCCGAGCUGCAGCCGAGCCAUGUAACCACUCGCUACAUCGUGAUUACAACUUGUACUUCGGUUACAGAGACAUUGUCACAUCAUUUAGGUACUCUGAGAUCCAGCUCCAGGAGUUGGCGUUGCCGUCGAUCGUUGUUGAUUACCACCCUUUUCCCAUUCAGCCUGGCAGAGUGAAGGAUGUGGUGAAAUACAUCACUAACAAAGGAAUGGAGAAGUUCAGUGCCAUCUUGGAGUGCACGAUGAAACUGCGCAAUGAGAUCCCCAGUGAAAGUAGUGCGAGGGCUGUGUCGGACUUCGUCACCGAGCAACAGUGUGAGAAGUCCAAACUGAGUCACCUGGCUCAAGACAUACAGCAGAAAAUCACCGACCUGCUUGAUGAUGAUUCUAACACGGAUGUUCUGACGUGCAUGUUUGAGGCUCACAGUGACAUCAUCAGACUGAAGCGGAUGAUCGUAGAGGCUGUGUUUAGGUGGAACACCAAGAUUCAGGAGUUUCUGAGUAGCCAACAGAAGAAGAUGAAACAAGCGACAAGCGUGAAGAAAGACAAGGACAAGGACAUGCCCGCCUCAUCUGUAGACGACGUUGAUCGCUCAUCACCGAAAACGUACGAGAAAACCAGAACCGGUUCCGAUCCUCAAAUCAUAGAUGUUUCUAACCUUUUAACAGUGGCAUCAAUAUCAUCGGGAUCUUCUAUGUCUGACAGACCACUGACAUCGUCUGUAAAUGUGGACACAGAAGACCAGACUGAUGGACGGACAGACAAAUGGUCGAGAAGGAAUAUCAUUGCCAGCUUUUGGUCAGGAUCGAACUUUGUUCCCGUGACCUCGCCAUUUGACCCAGCUGAACAUUACCUACUUCCGCCAUCCGACCGGGUUCCAGUUGUUAUCUAUGACUACGAGCCCAGCUCUGUGAUAGCUUACGCUUUGAGCUCCAGUGACUAUCAUGUUCGUCUACGAGAAAUUCAGUCUUGUUUUGGCUCGUCUAAGAAAGACAAUUCAGGCACAUCAAAGAGUGGGGAUUCUCCAUUGACCGGUGCUGACAUUGGCAAAGAAACUGGUCAAAAAAGAACAGGAAGUGGGAUGCUGUCAUUUUUUCGUGGUCCGAAAGACCAGAGUCCGUUUUUGUCGCGGAAAGCGGAUUACGCUGAUGCUGUCCGAGGACAUUGAGUCUUACUCUCUCUUUGCUACUUCGUCAUCGAGUGAUUCGGACAAGACCAAGUCCAGCAAUAAACAGACACCGAACAGUCACAUUGAAUUACAAUUUUCCGACAACGUUGCCAAAUUUUACUGCCGAGUCUUCUUUGCG